CCGCAUGGUAGGAUGCAUGAUAUGCAUCCUCUUAUGCUCUUCAUUAUUAAAGCUACGUUGGAGAAGAAGAUGGGGUAAAAGUGGCAAAGGAUGAAAUGGUGGCCGAAUGGGAGAAGAAGAUGGAAGUUUUAAGGUGUUUGCGCGCACUUUGGAGAAGAAGAUGCAGACGUACACACCUGAUGGUCCCAAAUAACCUACACAACCCCCUUACCACACAUUUAAUUCACUCCACUUGCAUUAUUAAAUCACCAUUUGGCCCCACCCUUCAUCUCAUCUAGUUAUUAUAUCGUAUCACAAUCAUCAACUCUAUCACGUGAUACAAUAAGUUCUCCUCUCCUCUUCUCUUUGUGGCAAAUUCGCAAUGGCAUUCACCCGUAAUAUUCUCCAAACUUCAGAGCAUCAGAAAUCUUUUUUAGCAUUAUGGGCUGUCUUUUUCCGGGAAACAGGCCACAGCCUAUUUUCCUAGGUUGUCCCCAACGUACACUAUUCUAUUCAUACAUACAACUCCCUCUUUCGCAUUUUAAUACGAUAAAUAUUUACAUGUAAUUAUUUUUAUAUAUUAUAUGUAGUCAAACUUUUUUUUUACUAUAUUUUCGUAUUUUGUAUAUAAUUAUUUCUUUUUUUUUUAAAAUAUUCUACAUUUUUAUUGAAGUUGCCAUUUUUUUCGC